UAGAUGCCAGUAUACUUUUUAAUGAAUUUGUUUUGGCCUUCAUUACCAGGAUGUUUCAUGAGCAUAUUAUUUUGAUAUUUUGUAUAUAGUAUACAGUUGUUGUUAUUGUUAUUUGAAGAAUACAUUCAUAUUUGGUGAAAGAGGGAAACGGCCAGCCUUGACUGGCUAGUUUGAAAUGAGUGUUGAGUGGUUAAAUGGAUUUUGAGUUCUGAGACAUCGAACUAGAAUGUUUCAAACCUACCCAUUCACGGCGAGGACUUUGGCCGGCUAGCCCAGUACAGCUCAGCCCUUAUUGCCGUGUGGAUGUAGAGUGCUACAGUUACAGUGUUGUGUGGAAUACUUGAAUGAUUCAGAGGCCGGUUGAGAUCGAGAUUCGAUCUGUUCUUCGUAUUUGAGACAAGGAUACAGCUUGAUACAACUUGUAGUCGAGUUAGUGCAAUGAAGGUGGACGGCUACAGCGUUAUCAUCUAUCCCAGUGUUGGACAACUAGGGCCUCUACAGAGAGAAUGGGGUCGUUAGUGCCGAGUCAAUAAGAAGGUUUUAAAAGAAGAUUGGACAAGUUUAUGGAUGGAGAUGACAGGUGAAAGUCGAUGUGUGGACCGCUCAGGAAAAUCCUCCGCAGUGAGGAUGGAGACGCCACAUGCAUCGGUGCACGCACGUCAGUAAUGUCUUCAACUGCAAUAUCUUUUGCGUCACAAUCCGCACCCUCCUCACUAAGUGACAAACACCGUAGCACUGAGAGCCCAGAGCCCCUCGAGGUAGUCAAGCGCUCCGCCACAAUCUGGGAAGUGAAGGCUGAAGCUCAUCGGCCAGUAGCGCCCCGGUGCGCCCUCCCUCUCGACCUUCUCAACCAACCACCGCGUGAUUCUCCACAGCGAGGACCAAUCAGAGAAAGGCGCGGAAAAGUGAAUGAGUGCCAAGAUGGAGGGGGCGUGGUGAGGCUGUACUCUACGGGCCCGCCUCGAAAGGUUCAAGUUAAUACUCACAUCGCAACGCCCCCCACCAUUUGUAG